UGGAAGACAGGUGCUUUUCUUGAGGGC
rnacentral:piRNA from 1 species